CUCACUCAUUCCCCUCCCUCUCGCUCGACUCGCUUGUUCCCCUUUUCUCGCCUCCGACGAAAUCCCUAGCUCGUCUCGCCUCCGACGCUCACGUCGUCGCCGCUAGCUUGCCUAUCACCCGCGUCGUCGCUGCUCGCUUCCCUCUCGCCAGUGUCGUCGCCUCUCGCCUCCCUCUCCCCCGCGUCGUCCGGGCUGCCUUCACUGGUGCCGUCGCCUCUCACUCUCGCCCGCAUCGCCUGCACCAGCAAGGUCGCCACAAAGUUUGAUUUUUUACUGAAGGGGAGGCGAGAGCUUGUGGGAGGAGCUAUGCCGACGGCUGGGUCUGAAGCGGCUGGUCGUCUCACUGUGAGCACGAGGGGGAGGGGCGGGAGGAGCACGAGCGAGCGGCUGUUUUAGAUGAGGAGGAGCGGAGGCGGCAGUGACAUGGUGCAGGCGACGCUCCAUCUGCUGCUGAGUAUGACGAGUGGAGGAGGAGCAGGAGGACGUCGGCGCCGUCGCUGAGCAUUCCUCUCUGUAGAUCUAAUUGCUUGCCGCAUGCUUGAACGUGGAGAACAAUCAAUUCAAGGAUCAAUCCCAAAGAAGAUGCUCAGCAUCCCAAAAUUGGUGUAGAAGAAAGGACAACCACUUAACCAUUCAAUUUCUGCAGAAGAAAGGACAAUCAUUUAACCAUUCUGAUCCGCGGUUCCUCUCCGACGACAGUGGUGAGCAGUUCAGAUCUGGAAGCACCAUACUGUGAUGUUGCUGUUGUGAUGUUCAGGUACUGUUGCUACUGCUGUUGUGCUGGUGCUCUACUUUUCCUCUUGCUACUGCUGCUAUGAUGAGAAAUUCUUAUCGGUGCUCUUGCUAUGAUGAGAAAUUCUCCUGUUUGUGCUACUCCUGCAUGAUGAGUACUCCACUGUUGUGCUGGUGCUCCACUUUUCCUCUUGUUGGUGCUCUUGCUAUGAUCAAGGAGUACUUUAUGACCUGCACCUGCUGUUGUACUGAGAAAUUGUACUCCUGUGCUGAUUUGCACCUGCUGUUGUACUGAGAAAUUGUACUCCUGUGUUGAUUUACACCUGCUAUUGUACACUGCUGAUCUGCUCUUCCUACUGUUGUGCACCUGUGAUCUCCUGAACUGCUGUUGUGCUAUGAUGAGAAUUUAUUCUUGCUGUUGUUGUACUCCUUGAUCCAGCUGCUAUGAUGAAUUCUUGCUGUUGAUCAUGUUGCUGAAUUCUUGCAAGGAGCACCAGGGCGAGCAGCAAGGUGGAUGCAGCGGGGAGCACCUGCGAGCAGCAAGGUGGGCGCAGCGGGGAUCAGCUAGGCGAGUAGCAAGGGAGGGCUCCCUGGGUGCAGUGGCAAGGGAGGGCGCCCUGGCGCGGCAAGGGAGGGCCUGGGCGAGGCUGGGAGGGCCUAGGCACGGAGAGGAUGGCCUGCGCGCGGCCUGGGGACCGAAGCUGGGCGGCGAGGACGAGCGCCUGGGCGCGGCCUGGGGACCGAAGCUGGGCGGCGAGGACGAGCGCCUGGAUGCGGGGCUGAUGCGGGGACGUGAGGAAGAAGACGACUGGUUUGAAAUUCAAAUCAAGGGCAUAAUUGUCUAUUUGCACUUUUGUCGGCUGUGUCUGAAAAUCCCUCAACGUCUUAUAAUUCUUUCCAGAGGGAGUACCACCUAAGUUGUCCACCCAAGAUCCCCUAAAAAAAAAGUUGUCCACCCAAGCUAUAGAUUACAACGGUGGCCUGAACAUGGACGUGAAUCGUGGAGACUGGACUGCUGACAGAUUGGCAGGUAGAGGCUGGCCUCGAUGUAAUAACUCUGGUGAUCUAAAAAAAGUAAUCCUCGAGGCAGUGCAACAAUUAGGGCAGGACCAAGACCAAUGGCCUGUUAAACGCGGGUUGGGCCGACCUUUGGACUAAUAAAAAGAACAACACGUUUGGGGCUAAGCCAAUUAGCACUGCAGGCUUGUUUCAGGUCGAGGCAUCCAUUCUGUGCAAGAGAAAUUUCUG